GCCCUCUGCUUCCCUUUCCCUCUGGAUCCCAGGACUGGUUUUGGUGGUUCUAAAGCAGAAAGGGAAUAGGGGAGCUGGCCUCCCAGUGUUGGAGUCUGCCACAGAGCGUGCAGGCCAGAUUCAGACAGGC